rnacentral:lncRNA from 1 species
ACCCCCCUUCAGCUAAUAAUCCACUUUAUAUUUUUGUUCAACCUUCUUCUCUUAUAUAUAUAUAUAUAUAUAUCAUCACAUCAUUCAAGUCUUUCUUAAUUAGGAGAUUUCUUCUUCAUUCUUAACUGUAUGAGCUUUGCAAGUUUUCAGUAACUUUGGCUUUUCCCCCAAGUAAAACAUCAUAUUCUAUCUGUGAUUCUACGUCUUCCUUUAAUUUGUUGCUUCUUCUAUACAUGUCUAUCUGAGAACUUUUUUUGGAGUUUCUGAAACACAUAUAAUUUUAUAUUGAUACAUUAGCAGGUAGUCCACACCACAGGAUCGCAACUAUGGUCAACAAUAUUGCAAAGUCAUCACUUCACAAUUUCUUCCAGAGAAGUCGACGCUCCUUAAGGUGAGUAUCAUUUCUCGCAGAUGUUACACAAUUCAUAACCAAGGAAUAAGCACUCACUUUAUUGAAUCCGUGCACAUAUAUAUGCUCUCUAAUUAAUUAAUUUUCUGAAUGUGUACGUUUAGUAUAAUCAGCCUCCAUCUUGUCAAUUUUUCGUUAUUAUAUUGGGUGUUAAUUAGCUUGAUUAAUCUUCAGAGUUAAGAGAUAUAUAAUAUAAUUUUUUUUAUUACUGUCAAAUAUUCAGAAUCAAAUUUAAAAGUUUAAACUUUUUCAUAUUAAAAUAGUAAAUCAAAAAUACUUCAUAGUAUUAUUAGUUACAGUAAAUUAACUCUGAGAACAAAAAGCAUUUGGGAGGGAGAGUAAAAUCUUCCUAUAGUUUCCUACUAUUUGCUUUUAUUUCCACUUCAAUUUGUGGAAGAUAGUUACCAGAAGAGGGAUGUAAUUGACAUUGGUUCUUCUUGGUCAGCAUCAAUUUUAAUUUUGGUGAUAAUAUAUUCACACAAUUCCUUUUCCCACAUAAAACUAAAAAAUUGUAGGUUUAUUCGUGAUUGAGCCCCUUUUUUUCUGAAAAACAAUAGAAGGCUAUAGUACUUGGUGAUCUUUUUAGCAAAUACUAUAUAUUAUGUAUAUAGGAAUUGAGACAUUAUUGAAUUCUUCAGCUAUAUUAAUUAGGAUUUCAAAAGGAAUAUAGGACAUAAUAAAAAAAAAAAAAGAAAGGUUUGACACAAGAACAAAACAAACUGAGUCGUAUAUUUGGACAAAGACCGUUGAUUGUUGUUAAGAAAAAAGGAUGGCUUCUAGAUGCUUAUAAAGUAAUUCCAAAUAUAAUACAUGGGUAUUAAUGAGUCUGUAUGGACAAAUGACUUUCGAAAAGUAAUCAUAGAUACAGACUCCAUCUUUUUUCCGAACACAAUUUAAUUAGAUUGAAGUUUAAGAUGUUAAUUGAGGGGUUACUAUGAUGGUAAGCAGCUUCCACUUCUAAUCGAGAAAUUGUGAGUGCGAGUCUCCCCAAAAGUAAGGUGGGAAGUUGUUGGAGGGAAGGAUGCCGAUGGUCUAUUUGGAAACAGCUUCCCUACCCCAGGAUAUGAAUAAAAUCUCGUACACAUUGUUGUUGUUGUUAAUUGACUUGCAUGUUAGUAAAUUUUAAUAUUAGUACGUGUGCAUGAGACAUUUUCGUGUUAUUUACACCAGAUGGCCACUUCUAUGGCCAGCCUUGUAUUUAGAAGUUGACCACCUUUUCAAAUUUAGACUUGUACCUUACUUAUCAGUUUUGAAUUUCAAACUUUAGACCUGGUGAUCCCAGUUGAACUUCAGACCAUUGGUCUAAUUCUAAAAGGUGAUCAAUUUCUAAUUAAAAGGCCAGAAAAGUGGCUAUUUGUGUAAAUCAUGAGAUUCCAUAUGAAAAGAUUUAUCAUAUAAUUUAGGAUUUGUUAUGACUUUAGCUCAAGAACUGGAUUUCUAAGACAGUAUAUAAUUCCUAACAAAAUAAGAAGUUCAAAUAUGUUAGUACUAUCUUUUCCUAUAGUAAUCCGUACUUACCUGAAUUAACACAAAAUUUUAUGCAAUAUAAACCAAAAAAGUUGGGGAAAAAGGAUGAACUUCUAAAACUUAUUGGAAUAGCAAGAGCCUAAAAUUGAUUGCUCCUAAACGUGGCUAUAGAAAUGUAACCAUCUCCAUUAUUCUGCACUGUCUUUAUGUAGUUUGUAGAAAUUGAUAUUGUUUCAUGGUCAUUAUGACAAUUAAUAGUUGAAUUCUGAAACCAUAUAUAUAUAUAUAUAUAUAUAUAUAUAUAUAUAUUUAUAUAUAUAUAUAUAUAAUAUAUAUAUAUCCCUUGUUUGCAGUAAUAAAGCACCAGUUUUAGAUUGUGAAGCUGAGAGCUUUUUGAAGGAUUAUUACAUUCCAGAUUACAUACUACUACUUCUACCUAUACAGAAUGACUAUCACGACAUAGCUUCUUGUCCUGUACUUGUAUUUAUCAACUCCAAAAGUGGUGGUCAACUAGGUGGACAACUUCUUUUGACAUACCGUACUCUUCUUAAUCAAAAUCAGGUAAACCUCUGUUAUACUUUUAUGUUCAAAUUGGGCGAUGUACUUUCCUUUUUAGUUUAUUUCAAAAUGAAUAAAGUCCCGAAAAUUUCAAG